AGAGUUUGAUCAUGGCUCAGGAUGAACGCUAGCGACAGGCCUAACACAUGCAAGUCGAGGGGCAGCGAAGAGGUAGCAAUACCUUGUCGGCGACCGGCGCACGGGUGAGUAACACGUAUGCAAUCCACCUGUAACAGGGGGAUAACCCGGAGAAAUCCGGACUAAUACCCCAUAAUAUGGGCGCUCCGCAUGGAGGGCCCAUUAAAGAGAGCAAUUUUGGUUACAGACGAGCAGUGCGCUCCAUUAGCCAGUUGGCGGGGUAACGGCCCACCAAAGCGACGAUGGAUAGGGGUUCUGAGAGGAAGGUCCCCCACCAUUAGAACUGAGACACGGUCCAGACUCCUACGGGAGGCAGCA
rnacentral:rRNA from 1 species